rnacentral:tRNA from 7 species
GGGGCCGUAGCUCAGUUGGGAGAGCGCUUGCAUGGCAUGCAAGAGGUCGUCGGUUCGAUCCCGAUCGGCUCCA